rnacentral:rRNA from 1 species
AACCAGCUCUACAAGUGGUCGGGAUGAUUAUUGGGCUUAAAGUGUCCGUAGCCGGUUUAGUAAGUUCCUGGUAAAAUCGGGUAGCUUAACUAUCUGUAUGCUAGGAAUACUGCUAUACUAGAGGGCGGGAGAGGUCUGAGGUACUACAGGGGUAGGGGUGAAAUCCUAUAAUCCUUGUAGAACCACCAGUGGCGAAGGCGUCAGACUGGAACGCGCCUGACGGUGAGGGACGAAAGCCAGGGGGAGCGAACCGGAUUAGACGUACCCGGGUAGUCCUGGCCGUAAACGAUGCAUACUAGGUGAUGGCACGGCCAUGAGCCGUGUCAGUGCCGUAGGGAACCGUUAAGUGUGCCGCCGUGGGAACGUACGGUCGCAAGGACUAAAACUUAAAGGAAGUGGCGGGGGAGCACCACGAAGGGGUGAAGCCUGCGGUUC